GCUUGCACCUCGCUGACGAGCGGCGGACGGGUGAGUAAUGCAUAGGAAACUGCCCAGUAGUGGGGGAUAGCCCGGGGAAACCCGGAUUAAUACCGCAUACGCCCUUUGGGGGAAAGCAGGGGAUCUUCGGACCUUGCGCUAUUGGAUGUGCCUAUGUCGGAUUAGCUAGUUGGUGGGGUAAGAGCCUACCAAGGCGACGAUCCGUAGCUGGUCUGAGAGGAUGAUCAGCCACAUCGGGACUGAGACACGGCCCGAACUCCUACGGGAGGCAGCAGUGGGGAAUAUUGGACAAUGGGGGCAACCCUGAUCCAGCCAUGCCGCGUGUGUGAAGAAGGCUUUCGGGUUGUAAAGCACUUUCAGUGAGGAGGAAAACCCUGCGAUUAAUACUCGUACAGCUUGACGUUACUCACAGAAGAAGCACCGGCUAACUCCGUGCCA
rnacentral:rRNA from 1 species